GAAGUGCUGCAAAGAAUGCAGAUCGGAAGUCCACAGAAGAAAGGAGUUUAGUGCUGAAGAUAAUGUUUUUUUUCACGAGUCAUGGGGUGUGUCUCAGCAGAAAGGACUAAAAAUAAUUUUAGUACCUUACCCUGGACUUCUGCCACUCAUCAGGUGAGACAGCAAUAUCCCAUGGUUAAUACUGAAGUUAAGGAGGAUGAGUCUCCCCACUGACAGGAGACCCAACUCAAGUGGUUUCAUUUCUGCGUCCUAGCUUGAGUCCAAACCAUGCCAGAUUUACUGUUAGCAAAUUUAGUCCCAGCUACUAUUUGCCUAGUAGCUGUAGGAGCUUUCUUGGGAGCUGUUGGGUGUUAGGAAGAACUCAUGUCUGCAGGAUGAAUUUCCUGAAGGCUGGAUGACAGUCAAUUUCCAGUGUGUUGGUAAUUUUUGGUUGGUGUCUCCAGCUCCCCUCUUUCAAGACGUUAGCCUUCUGGGCUGGGCUCUGCAGCAAUCCUGGACAGAUGGUAGCGUUGCGAGGUGAAAUCCAGGACAAACGGACAGUGAAAUAGAGGGAGCUCUUUGGUGCACUCACUGUAGCCAGAUGCCCUGUCAAACUGUGUGAGAGCAUUUUCUGGGAUUUUAUAAUCAAGACAAAUUUGGCCAGAUGUAAAAUAAGGCUCUUACUUUUUCAUGGGUUGAGGAGGAGGGAAUGGGAAGCUUUUACAAAAGAUUUAAGUAUUUGGUCUUUGGAUCAUGUAAUGCAUCUGGGUUGAUUUCCAGGUGUGAGGAAGUGCUGGGUCCCUCUUGUUGAUUAAGUAAGCUGUAGGAAAUAACCAGGGGAGGGGAAGGCAGUUGGUGGGUAGUGUGAGUAGCUUUGCUGGAAGAAAUGAGACUGUACUACAGGAACAGGCUGCUCUUGCUUGUCAAGCUCUUUGCAGUUUGCCUCUCUUCUCUGUUGAGGAUGCUACUGGAAAGGGAGAGCUGGAGGACAUCUGGCAUUUCCUAAGGCUGGAUACAGCUGCUCGAGCCCUGCUGUGGAUCUGGUCCAGAACCCCUUUGUGCUGGAGUUUUCCACCGGUAAAAUGCAGAGAGUGUCCUUGUAUAUCCAAGAAGUUCAGAUAUGAUGCUCCAUUAUUGGCACCGAGCUCUGUGCCAGGGAUGCAUCGCUGCUUGUGCUUGGAAAUGGUCAUUUCUGAAGUGCCAAUGAUCUGAGGUACAAUAAUUAUUUUAUUACUUAAUGGCAUCAAUUAGGGCAAGCUUUGUCAUCUAGCACACAAUGAUCUCAGCACCACAGUGUGAUAUAACUAUUACAGUGAGCAUCACAGACUGAUACUUAUGCCAUAUGGGGAAUAAAAAGCUUUCAGGCUUUCUUUUCUUUUUUUUC
rnacentral:lncRNA from 1 species